GACGAACGCUGGCGGCGUGCUUAACACAUGCAAGUCGAACGGGGUCCAAGGAGUAGCAAUACUCCUGAAGACCUAGUGGCGAACGGGUGAGUAACACGUGAGCAACCUGCCCCAAAGACUGGGAUAACACCGGGAAACCGGUGCUAAUACCGGAUACCCUCGCCGGGUCGCAUGGCCUGGUGAGGAAAUGAAUUUCGCUUUGGGAGGGGCUCGCGGGCCAUCAGCUUGUUGGUGAGGUAACGGCCCACCGAGGCUUACGGCUAGCUGGUCUGAGAGGACGAUCAGCCACACUGGGACUGAGACACGGCCCAGACUCCUACGGGAGGCAGCAGUGGGGAAUCUUGCCCAAUGGGCGAAAGCCUGAGGCAGCAACGCCGCGUGUGGGAUGACGGCCCUCGGGUUGUAAACC
rnacentral:rRNA from 1 species